UCGACAUGCAAGCUAAACAAAGAAAUGGUUAAACUCAAGAUUAAUAAAUUGAUCUAUCGUUUUAAAAGUAGAAAAAAGAAAAGGAAAUGUGAGCGUGUGUGAGCCGUGUUAUGUAAAGGGAGAGGCUAGAAUAAGGCCACGAGUGCAAGAGGGAACAAAGAGAAGCUAAUAAUUAGAAGGUUAGGGAGAGACUCAAGAAAUGAAAAGAAGAGACAAAAGAUAGAGAGAGAAGAGAGACCCACAAAACAAAACACACACGAGUAGAGAUGCAGCAUUAGACACGACUCCUCCUUUUUCCUACGCACGCAAUUUGGAGCUCGUCCUCAUAUUGGAGGUAAGAUGGGGGCCAUAGACAAACAAGACCAUACUAAAUCCUAAAACUCAAGCCUAAAUAAGGACCGGCCUAAUCAGUGCAUCAAAUUGAGCCGGGCCAGGUUGGCCCAUCAAAACACACUGAGGGGCAAAAUAUCAAAAAUAAAUAAAACUACAAGGGGAUGACUUUAAACCGGGUCCAAAUCCGGGUCCGACUGAACCAGGUUGCCCCAUUUUUUUUUUUUUUUUUUUUU